CCCUUAGAUGUUCUGGGCCGCACGCGCGCUACACUGAUGCAUUCAACGAGCCUAUCCUUGACCGACAGGUCCGGGUAAUCUUUGAAUCUGCAUCGUGACGGGGAUAGACUAUUGCAAUUAUUAAUCUUCAACGAGGAAUGCCUAGUAGGCGCAAGUCAUCAGCUUGCGUCGAUUACGUCCCUGCCCUUUGUACACACCGCCCGUCGCUCCUACCGAUUGAAUGGUCCGGUGAAGCGUUUGGACUAUGGUUUUCUGACGGUUCGCCAUUGGAUUACCGUGGGAAAUUCGUUAAACCUUAUCAUUUAGAGGAAGGAGAAGUCGUAACA
rnacentral:rRNA from 1 species